AGUUGCCUAUAUAGGGUGAAAUCAAUUCGGAAGAACUAAGUUAUCACUGAAUAUCAAAGUCUUGGUAGCCGUUUCUGAUGACUUAAAGGGAAUCUCAGGUAAACAACAACCACACGCAAAUGCUUAAUAAUAUAUGUAGAUAAAACUUGCAUGUCUUUAUUAACCAGGGCGGUUAUAGGAAAUCUUAUAACCGUCCUGUUAAAACCUACCUCGCAUAUCCGACAAAAGUAAUUUGCACAACUGCCCAUGUGAUGACAAAACUCAGAGGCUCUAGGAUUGUCACAACCCACAAACAAUAUAGGACACUGGAUGAAGACAUCGCAGUUUGAAUUUAUAUCAAACAUUGCCAUUCCAUCUUCGAGAGCUAAAAUACAUAUCAGUUACAUACAUGUCUCAAAGUAAAGGAAACCCUCUGCAGUACAGUUGUGCACGUCUGGAAAUCCAAAGUUUAAUGUUUGACAUACCUUUUAAAUCCGUUGCCAUUUCUUUUCCAAGAUCUGCUGAGUUAACCAGGUUCGAAGCGCUAAUAAAGUGGAUGUUGCUAAAUUUUGAAAUUUCUUUUCUUGGUAGGGAUGCCAGAAACAUGGAAUAACUCUCCAAACGAUUCCAUUUUUUGCUUCGGUUCCCGCUCGUCUCGUCAGAAAAAAUAACAAUUGGUAAAGUUAACGUUUGUUUACCACCAGCUGCUACCUUUGUUGGAUGUGGUCUUUCCAUUUCAUCCACUUCCUAUGGCAUAUAGAGGAGCAAGAACUGUAAAUUUAAGCUUGUGUUCAACGGCGAAUUGUUCGCACGAUUGCUUAAAAUAAAACGUUGGAUAGAUUCCUGCUGUUUCGUGGU
rnacentral:lncRNA from 1 species